rnacentral:rRNA from 1 species
CCUACGGGAGGCAGCAGUGAGGAAUAUUGGUCAAUGGGCGCGAGCCUGAACCAGCCAAGUAGCGUGCAGGAUGACUGCCCUACGGGUUGUAAACUUCUUUUAUAACGGAAUAAAGUGAGGCACGUGUGCCUUUUUGUAUGUACUUUAUGAAUAAGGAGCGGCUACCUCCGUGCCAGCAGCCGCGGUAAUAAGGAGGAUCCGCGCGUUAUCCGGAUUUAUUGGGUUUAAAGGGAGCGUAGAUGGGUUGUUAAGUCAGUUUUGAAAGUGUGCGGCUCAACCGUAAAAUUGCAAUUGAUACUGGCAGUCUUGAGUACAGUCGAGGUAGGCGGAAUUCGUGGUGUAGCGGUGAAAUGCUUAGAUAUCACGAAGAACUCCGAUUGCGAAGGCAGCUUACUAAACUGCCACUGACAUUGAGGCUCGAAAGUGUGGGUAUCAAACAGGAUUAGAUACCCUUGUAGUC